rnacentral:tRNA from 1 species
GGGGCAGUAGCUCAGUGGUAGAGCUCCCGGUUCGUACGCGGGAAGACCUGGGUUGGAUUCCUCGCUGCUUUC